CUGACCUCGAAUCAGGUGGGACUACCCGCUGAACUUAAGCAUAUCAAUAAGCGGAGGAAAAGAAACUAACAAGGAUUCCCCUAGUAACGGCGAGUGAAGCGGGAUGAGCUCAAAUUUAAAAUCUGGGUAGUCUUUGACUGCCC
rnacentral:rRNA from 1 species